rnacentral:rRNA from 1 species
GGCUCAGGAUGAACGCUGGCGGCGUGCUUAACACAUGCAAGUCGAACGAAGCAGAUUGAGAUCUUCGGAAGGAUAUCUGACUGAGUGGCGGACGGGUGAGUAACGCGUGGGUAACCUGCCUCAUACAGGGGGAUAACAGUUAGAAAUGACUGCUAAUACCGCAUAAGCGCACAGUACCGCAUGGUACAGUGUGAAAAACUCCGGUGGUAUGAGAUGGACCCGCGUCUGAUUAGCUAGUUGGUGGGGUAACGGCCUACCAAGGCGACGAUCAGUAGCCGACCUGAGAGGGUGACCGGCCACAUUGGGACUGAGACACGGCCCAAACUCCUACGGGAGGCAGCAGUGGGGAAUAUUGCACAAUGGGCGAAAGCCUGAUGCAGCGACGCCGCGUGAGUGAAGAAGUAUUUCGGUAUGUAAAGCUCUAUCAGCAGGGAAGAAAAUGACGGUACCUGACUAAGAAGCACCGGCUAAAUACGUG